UACGUAGGGUGCGAGCGUUGUCCGGAAUUAUUGGGCGUAAAGAGCUUGUAGGCGGUUUGUCGCGUCUGCCGUGAAAAUCCGGGGCUCAACCCCGGACUUGCGGUGGGUACGGGCAGACUAGAGUGAUGUAGGGGAGACUGGAAUUCCUGGUGUAGCGGUGAAAUGCGCAGAUAUCAGGAGGAACACCGGUGGCGAAGGCGGUUCUCUGGGCAUUACCUGACGCUGAGGAGCGAAAGUGUGGGGAGCGAACAGG
rnacentral:rRNA from 1 species